rnacentral:rRNA from 1 species
GAUGAACGCUAGCGGCAGGCCUAAUACAUGCAAGUCGAACGGGCCACUUCGGUGGAUAGUGGCGCACGGGUGCGUAACACGUAUGCAACCUACCUUACAUUGGGGGAUAGCCUUUCGAAAGGGAGAUUAAUACCGCAUAAGACAGUAACAUGGCAUCAUGUAGCUGUUAAAGAUUUAUCGAUGUAAGCUGGGCAUGCGUCCAAUUAGUUAGUUGGUGAGGUAAUGGCUCACCAAGACGAUGAUUGGUAGGGGAACUGAGAGGUCAAUCCCCCACACUGGCACUGAGAUACGGGCCAGACUCCUACGGGAGGCAGCAGUAGGGAAUAUUGGGCAAUGGACGCAAGUCUGACCCAGCCAUGCCGCGUGCAGGAAGAAGGCGUUCUGCGUUGUAAACUGCUUUUAUAUAGGAAGAAACGACCCUUGCGAGGGGCAUUGACGGUAUUAUAUGAAUAAGCACCGGCUAACUCCGUGCCAGCAGCCGCCGUAACAC